GAACAAGUUCUAAGUCUAUACACAAACAUAAUGAGACAGAAAUAGGUGUGAAAGCACUAUCAUGCAAAUUAAAUACAUAACUUAUCCCCUCAUGGUAGAAACAUGGGAGAGGGAUAUUUCAUAAGAAUUGCAGGUAAGUGUAUAGAGGUUAUACUUGGUACGGCCAAAGAUAGAAUUACAGUACAAUACUAUAAAUUCAUACAG